rnacentral:rRNA from 1 species
CGCUUUUUGGUAAGUAAAUAUAAAAAGUAUCGCCUGCCCACUGAUAAAAAGUUAAAUGGCCGCGGUAUUUUGACCGUGCGAAGGUAGCAUAAUCAUUAGUCUAUUAAUUGUAGACUGGUAUGAAAGGCUGAAUGAAUAGUAGCUGUUUCUGUGUUAAAAAUGAAUUUUAGGUUUUUGUGAAGACGCUAAAAUGUAUUUAAUAGACGAGAAGACCCUGUUAAGCUUGACAUGAAAUUUAUUUUUUAUAUAAUAUAAAUAGUUAAUGUUUUGUUGGGGCGACAGUAAAAUAAAACUUUUAUUAUGUUUAAUUAUAAUUUAAUUAUAUUUUGAUAAUGAUCCACAAUUUGUGAUUUUUAGAAUAAGUUACUAUAGGGAUAACAGCGUAAUCUUAUUGGAGAGUUCAUAUUGAUAAUAGGGAUUGCGACCUCGAUGUUGAAUUAGGAUACCUUAUUGGUGCAGUUGUUGUUAAAGGUAGUCUGUUCGACUAUUAAAUUCCUACA